rnacentral:rRNA from 1 species
UACGGAGGGUGCAAGCGUUAUCCGGAUUCACUGGGUUUAAAGGGUGCGUAGGUGGUUUUGUAAGUCAGUGGUGAAAGCCUGUAGCUUAACUAUAGAAUUGCCAUUGAUACUGCUUAACUUGAAUCAAGUCGAGGUGGAUGGAAUAAAUCAUGUAGCGGUGAAAUGCUUAGAUAUGAUUUAGAACACCAAUUGCGAAGGCAGUUCACUAGAUUUGUAUUGACACUGAGGCACGAAAGCGUGGGGAUCAAACAGG